AGAGCCUCAUCCUCCACGGGACUGACCACCUCGGCCACUGCAUCUGCCGAGAGAGGGAAACAUGUCAAUCAAUCAGUGAUGGUUACUCUGAAAUGACUGUACUGUGGUUAAAAAAUGAGAAGCUUUGAUGGGCUAGAGUUCUAAGAACGUGCCAAGUCACAGAGGAUUCCAGAACACUCCAGCUCUCAACACACAGAGCUUCUACACAACAUCUCGAGGAUAUCGCAUUCCAGAAUUGGCUCAAAUCGAGACUUUCCAACCCUGAGUUGCCUGAGAGUGUGUAGGCCAAAAACGAACAUAGCACUCUCAGACAGCCAUACUCAAAUUACAGCUCCUUGAAUGGAAAUGCUUAAGCAUAGACUAUUUGAGGGGUAACCUUGUAUACUGUAAAGGCAUCACCGGACUUCUUAAAAAGAAUGAGGCCAAAUGGUCAACACAGGAUGGCAGGUGAUCUUCAGCAACUCAUUCCAAGGGUUUUGCAACCCAUUCAACACUUAACAUUCACCCGGAACAAAAUGGAACAUUGUAACCUCUCAGAUGUACUCAAUGUACUCAA